rfam:Gossypium raimondii chromosome 5, whole genome shotgun sequence.
GCCUCCCAAAAGGUAAUGGAGGCAGACAAAGGUUUUCUCGGGCCGAAUGGAGAUUAGCGUUCGAGUGCAAAGGCAGAAGGGUGUUUGACCGAAGCCCCGGGGAAAGGCGGUCGUAACUAUAAUGGUCCUAAGCUUGCGAAAUUUCUUAUCGGGUAAGUUCUGACCCGCACGAAA